ACCUGCGGAAGGAUCAUUAAUAAGUCGUCCCAUGCCCGUUCGUCGGGUAGGACAGAUUCCUCGCAUUUGGAUCCGGGUAGCCUAGGAGGCCGGAUUUCUGCUUAUAGGGACGGAGGGGCUCACGGGCCCCCGGGACAGCCUUGCGCUUGCGCGCGGCACCCGUCAACAAGUCCGACCUAUUUGUAAGCUUGCGAUGGUGGGUAGGAAUACCGCCUUAAGGAGUUGUGAUUUAAACCCGUGUCUACCUUCUUUGUUGCUUUGGCGGGCCGCCGCAAGGCGUUGGCUCCGGCUGACCGCGCCCGCCAGAGGACCCAAACUCUUCUGUUAAUAACGUCUGAGUACUAUAUAAUAUUUAAAACUUUCAACAACGGAUCUCUUGGUUCUGGCAUCGAUGAAGAACGCAGCGAAAUGCGAUAAGUAAUGUGAAUUGCAGAAUUCAGUGAAUCAUCGAAUCUUUGAACGCACAUUGCGCCCCUUGGUAUUCCGAGGGGCAUGCCUGUUCGAGCGUCAUUAUAACCAAUCAAGCCCAGCUUGGUAUUGGGGUUCGCGGUUUCGCGGCCCUUAAAAUCAGUGGCGGUGCCGCCCGGCUCUAAGCGUAGUAACUUUCUCGCUAUGGGGUCCGGGCGGUCUCCUCUAAAACUCCCCCAUUUUACGG
rnacentral:misc_RNA from 1 species